UCUCCUGUAGCUCAGUGGUAGAGCGUCCGACCGGUGUGCGGAAGGUUAUAAGGUUUGACUCCUUUUUAAAGAG